GGGGGUAUAGCUCAGUGGUAGAGCCUGUGCUUCGCAUGCACAAGGUCCUUGGUUCAAUCCCCAGUACCUCCA
rfam:Camelus ferus unplaced genomic scaffold scaffold961, whole genome shotgun sequence.